AUUGAACGCUGGCGGCAUGCCUUACACAUGCAAGUCGAACGCGAAAGAGGGGCAACCCUUGAGUAGAGUGGCGAACGGGUGAGUAACGCAUCGGAACGUAUCCAGUAGUGGGGGAUAACCCAUCGAAAGAUGGGCUAAUACCGCAUACGCCCCGAGGGUGAAAGUGGGGGACCGCAAGGCCUCAUGCUAUAGGAGCGGCCGAUGUCUGAUUAGCUAGUUGGUGGGGUAAAGGCCUACCAAGGCGACGAUCAGUAGCUGGUCUGAGAGGACGAUCAGCCACACUGGGACUGAGACACGGCCCAGACUCCUACGGGAGGCAGCAGUGGGGAAUUUUGGACAAUGGGCGAAAGCCUGAUCCAGCAAUGCCGCGUGUGUGAAGAAGGCCUUCGGGUUGUAAAGCACUUUUGUCCGGAAAGAAAUGGCUCUGGUUAAUACCUGGGGUCGAUGACGGUACCGGAAGAAUAAGGACCGGCUAACUACGUGCCAGCCGCCGCAGUAACAC
rnacentral:rRNA from 1 species